rnacentral:rRNA from 1 species
AACGAACGCUGGCGGCAGGCCUAACACAUGCAAGUCGAACGCUGCAGCAAUGCAGAGUGGCAGACGGGUGAGUAACGCGUGGGAACCUUCCCAGUGGUACGGAAUGGCCCAGGGAAACUUGGGGUAAUACCGUAUAAGCCCCUAGGGGGAAAGAUUUAUCGCCAUUGGAUGGGCCCGCGUCGGAUUAGCUAGUUGGUGAGGUAACGGCUCACCAAGGCGACGAUCCGUAGCUGGUCUGAGAGGAUGACCAGCCACACUGGGACUGAGACACGGCCCAGACUCCUACGGGAGGCAGCAGUGGGGAAUAUUGGACAAUGGGCGCAAGCCUGAUCCAGCCAUGCCGCGUGAGUGACGAAGGCCUUAGGGUUGUAAAGCUCUUUUGGCGGGGACGAUAAUGACGGUACCCGCAGAAUAAGCUCCGGCUAACUUCGUGCCAGCCGCCGCAGUAA